rnacentral:lncRNA from 1 species
UGCGAGGUUGUAACCAAAAGAUGAUCGAAUGAAUAGUUAACUAAUUUUUAUAACUAAAACUUGUUAAAUCAAUGAAAAUUGGUUUAAAAAUCAAAUGUGCGAACGUAUUGGAUUUCCGAUGCCAUUGAUCAAUUCUUAGUUCUAAUUCUCAACCAGUAAUUAUUAUCUUAAUUUAUGCAAUUGUGACGAUCGAUAAUUUCACUAUUAUUUAUUAUUCUUUCCCAAGAUAUAAUAAACUUAUGGUUGCCACGAGACGAUCCUAUUCUUAGUCCGAAUUCAUAUGACAAAUAUACAUUGACAUUUAGGAUGAUCACAUAUGAUCACACACGCUACAAAUAUUAUUCCUAACAUUUAUUCUCCGUGUGUUCCAAUAACAGUGUUCUACCUACCGUGAGUUUUCCAACACUACGAAUAAGCAACUUAUUAUCCUAAUGGUGUGCAAAUAUUAAAAUAAUAGAAAUAGGCAUAUUAAUGGAAUUACAACGCAAGAAUUAACAUAAAAACAUAGGUCUCGAAUUAAAACUAAAAAUUAAACAAUUUUGUCAUCAUCCAAUACAUGAAAUUAUUUAGCCUAACAUAAUGUUGGGAUUAAACAAAUAAAAGUAGAAAAACAUCACCCAGAUUUGAUGAAACGUGAUUAACUUGUAAAGGCCAAGCGUGUAUGUAAUUUUUUCCAAUUUCUAUGCCUUUUGCCGUGUGUAAUUUCACCCUUGCAGUCACCAACUUUGUAUCUAGAUUAAAUGAUUCAGCCACCCAAUGUGUAUAUCUAUUCCAUUCUAGCAGCUCAAAUUUUUUUCUGUCUUCUCCAAUAAAUACCAGGUAGCCGCAAUUCCUUUUCAAUUUCUCCACUUUCUUUUCCGCUCAAGCUGCUGUUAUUGUUUUGUGUAUAUAUAAUUUAAGGCAGCAACUAGUUUGUAUUUUUUUGUCAACUCCCCUCCAAUCUGCUGCCCAAUUAUAUGUGUGAAUCCCUCAACAAUUUCCCAAGCAGCUGCCUUUAAUACUCCAACCGUAGCCGACGUCUUCCACUCCAAUUUUCUUCCCAGCCGUUUUUCUCCUUUCUGUCAACACCAAUCUGUAAAUACAAAUAAUAGAAUUCAACCCCCAGCCGGUAGCCCCUUAAUGUGUGUGUGUGAAUUAUAAUAUUGGCUCCCCAAAAGCUCUCUGUAGGAGCAUAUAUAUACUUCCAAUCAGCCGAGUAAUUUUAUUCACAAAAG